UACGAAGGGGCUAGCGUUACUCGGAUUGACUGGGCGUAAAGCGCACGUAGGCGGAUUGUUAAGUCAGGGUGAAAUCCUGGAGCUCAACUCCAGAACUGCCUUGAUACUGGAGAGCUUGAGUCCGGGAGAGGUGAGUGGAACUCCGAGUGUAGAGGUGAAAUUCGUAGAUAUUCGGAAGAACACCAGUGGCGAAGGCGGCUCACCUGGCCCGGUACUGACGCUGAGGUGCGAAAGCGUGGGAGCAAC
rnacentral:rRNA from 1 species